rnacentral:rRNA from 1 species
UACGAAGGGGGCGAGCGUUGUUCGGAUUUACUGGGCGUAAAGGGCGCGCAGGCGGCUACAUUUGUCAGGCGUGAAAGCCCCGGGCUUAACCUGGGAACUGCGUUUGAUACGGUGUGGCUAGAGUUCGGGAGAGGAGCGUGGAAUUCCCAGUGUAGAGGUGAAAUUCGUAGAUAUUGGGAAGGAACACCGGUGGCGAAGGCGGCGCUCUGGACCGAGACUGACGCUGAGGCGCGAAAGCGUGGGGAGCAAACAGG